rnacentral:rRNA from 1 species
UCCGUAGGUGAACCUGCGGAAGGAUCAUUACAUAUUGAGCGCGGCUGGGAUCCCCAGGAGCCCGUCGUCUUGCCUCUGGCAGGCGUAACUCUUGCCCAGUUUGCGUGAAUAUUCACCCAUGUUUUUGCGUACUUCUUGUUUCCUUGGCGGGCUCGCCCGCCAACUGGACACCAUUAAACCUUUUGUAAUUGCAGUCAGCGUCAGUAAAAUUUAAUUAUUACAACUUUCAACAACGGAUCUCUUGGUUCUGGCAUCGAUGAAGAACGCAGCGAAAUGCGAUAAGUAGUGUGAAUUGCAGAAUUCAGUGAAUCAUCGAAUCUUUGAACGCACAUUGCGCCCAUUGGUAUUCCAAUGGGCAUGCCUGUUCGAGCGUCAUUUGUACCCUCAAGCUUUGCUUGGUGUUGGGCGUUUGUCUUCCGAGACUCGCCUUAAAAUAAUUGGCAGCCGGCAUACUGGUUUUGAGCGCAGCACAAAUUGCGGUCUGGCCAUGAAUGUCGGCAUCCAUGAAGCUCCAUUUUCACUUUUGACCUCGGAUCAGGUAGGGAUACCCGCUGAACUUAAGCAUAUCAAUAAGCGGAGGAAGUCCGACU